UCACCAUGUUGACCAGGAUGGUCCCGAUCUCAUGACCUUGUGAGCCACCAUGCCUGGCAAGGCCUUUUAUUUCAACCUCUCGUUUCCUUUUCCUUUGCAUUGGUUGAGGCAUUUUCUUAGCUCUUCAGUUCUGUUCCUGCAUGCCAUCCUUGCCCUCUGAAUUUUAUAUAAGUCUACAAAAACCAAGUAUUUCUACAUAGUUUCUCUUCACGUGUCUUUUCUGCCCCUUCCUUCAGCAGUUUUUAGUCAGACAUUUUUUCUAUGAAGAAACCCCUUGUUUUCCAUAGUCUUUCAGAAUGAACACUGUGACGAACAUUCAUCUCAGAUUGUCUCCAUUGUAAUUUUUAAAAAUUGUAUAUAAAUUGUAAGAUUUAUUUAGACAGUGUAGUGGAAAACAAAACAUUUGCCAGAACGAGUAAAUGUGGAACAAUAUCACUGUCACUAGCUUAAGUAGUGGUUAAGUGAUACUGUUUAGUAAAUCCAUAUGUAAGGAUAAAGUCAGAAUGGUAAAAGCUUGACAUUUCACAGGAAAUGUAUGGAUUAAAGGAAAUUUUAUUUGUUUAAAUAUAGUCACGUUGUAAUUUAGUUAUAAUAAUACUGUUAAACCAAUUUGAAGACAAGGUGUGCUUUAUAUGUUAAUGUUUUUAGGUUAUAUUUUAAUGUGAUGUCACUUUAGCAAUAAAAGAAAACUAUACAUAUAUACAUUAAUUCUCUUGGAUAUGAGUUUUUUUUUUAUCACAAUAAUGCUUCUAUUUCUACCAUUAGUUUUAAAAAUACUUAAAAUUGCCCCUUGAAAAUCUAUAUUUAGAAAAACGUGAAUCCAGGACAUAGUCAUAUUAAUUAGUAUAUUUGAAUAUAAUAUUCACCAGUGAGAAUGAUCUCAAGGGUAAUUCAAGAAAACAUUAUGAAGUCUUCUUGUAUUUCUAGGAAAUUUCCUGUUUUGUUCUGCCUUUAAAGGUGAACUUGUUUCUCUUUUUUUGCCAUUAUUACAUAUACUUUGAUUACUUGCCUUAUGAUAUGCUUGCUUAACUCACUGUGAAAACCUCGAUGCUCCAUUACUUGACUUGAGGUUUGGUAUCCUCAUCUUUAGUGAUAUUGAAACUACAGAAACACUGUAGUGUGGUCUUCAGAGUUUCAACGGUGUCAUAGCACUUAAGGCUACUUUUUGUCCUCCUUUUUUGCUUCCCUAUUCCUUGCAAAUCUUUGCCUUGGCUACAUGUGAGUUCAGGUAGUAUGUUUCCACAGUUUCCAGAUUCCAACUGUAAGGAACUAGAGACAAGAUGAUGUCCAAAAAUCAUCCCUAUGCCAUGUAUGGGCCUUCUAGGAAUAGUACCAUAAAAAUCUGUCUUUAUUAUUAAUAGGUCCUUUCUGACAAAUCAACACUUAAACAUUAUUUUAACACAAUUUUAUGAUGAUGAUUAUCUGCUACAGUUUUAUGUAUUUUAAUCAUUAACUUAUUGAUUGUGCCUUGAGGCCUCUUACAUAAAGAAUGCAAUUUGAAUAAUGCCGUGGUAAGCCGUUUAAUCUCUGUUUACAACUGUAUUAGGUUUCAUUCCAAACAGUAACGAUGACUCCUUUCUAUGGAUAACUUGGCACAUAUUGUUUACAUUUAUAUGUUGUUUUAAAAGGUAUAUUUUGUUAGAUUUUCACAUUCAAGAUCAUAAAACUUUAUGUGUUUUUUUAAAAGAUAAUUUUAAUCUACCUAUAGUAUGUACAAAUGUAUUACCUUAAAGGAAGAAAUUACACUGUCUGAUAGGGGAGAGAACUCUGAAUAAUCAAGGGGCAACUGGUUGGAAUUUAUUUUAGUACACUAGGAAUGAACCAGAUUUAGGUUAAGAGCUGUAGAAUCCUUUCUGUUUAUCACAGAAGGCCCAGCCCUGUGUUAAUCCUUUCCUGAGCACCCUAGCCAGCAGUGACUUCCCCCCACCACCUCUUUCAGCCUUAAUUAAAUUUUAAGUGUCUGAAUAGCAGGGAUUCGAUCUCUAAGUUGUUACUUUCUCCCGAUCCACCUCUUGCAUAGGAAAGAAUGCUCUGCAACUAGCCUUUUCUUAAUACGUAUUUGUUGGCUGAAAAUGGACCUAAGUAGGUUAAGCCAUUAGUUUUUUCUUUUAAAAAUUACAGGAUAUGCUACUUCAUGAUUUGUUCCUUCAUAUUUAAAUCUUCCUGUUGUAGUAAAGACAGACUUUUCAUUUAAAAAGUGGAAUUGCUAACGAAUAUGUUUUCAUUCUUUCAGGGAACCCUCUAGCCAUAUCAUUUGCUUUUCUGACUGUUGAUUAUAGAUUGGCUUAUCCUUAGAGACAACAGACUCUGAGUACCAUAGUAAAUGCCUUGUAUUAUUUUCUCUUUACAAAGAUAAACCAAAGUUUUAAAAGAGCAUAGCAUGUUUUCUGCAUUAUUUUUAGGGAAAGAAUGUGUAUCAAAAGGGGAUAUAUUUUCUUGAUAGAGGCAGAUGGACUAA